GUGGUGGUGAUGGUGGUGGGGGUGAUGAUGGUGAAAGGGAAUUUUCGGUUGAAACAACUCGAGCUGGCCAUUGAACUGGUGAUGGUGGCGAUGAUGAUGAGGAAGAAUUUUUUGUUUUGUUUUGUUUCAGUAACAUGGCAAUUGCGGACUUCAUAGAAAAGGGUGAUUUACUUGAAACAGGCGAGACACUCAGAUCUAUGUUAAGUGAACUGAUAGCACCUUUCUUUAAAAUCAAAAUGGUAGAAGGUGGUAUUUAGUAGGAUAGGGAAGAAAAUCGACAACUGAAGGAUCAGAAAGAAAAUAACAAACGUGGAUAAGCACAGAAAAUGGAACACUGCAUACCCAUCGGUAGAUAAUAUUUUUGAUAGCAAUUGUUCCUUUGGAGAUGUUUACCAGCUUAAAAAUAUAGAUAAAUUUAUAUCCCCUAUAAAUGUUGAUGUUUUUAGACGGAUUAACCAGUACGAUAUUAAGAAACGGCGCGUGAUUACAACGGGGAAGGAAUAGUGAUGGCGUAUCUUGCCAGUCCUAUAGUCCCUAUACAUGAUUUUGCAUUACUUUUCAAUAAUACUCCAGACAUAUGCAAAAGAAAGAGAGAGAGAGAGAAGGUCAUGUUCUGAACUGUUGAAACUGAUCUUAAAAAGUAGAGUUAGAACUUUAACAUGUCAUGGGUAUGUCUGGAAUUUAUGUCCGUCUUGUCUUCGAUUUGAGGAAAAUACGGAUGGUACCAAACGCAUCCGAUAUAAAAUUAUGAGGAUUGCUGUAUGGAGUAAAGAUAACAGAUAAAAUCUAUAAACACAAUGGGAGUAGAUUAAGAGCUAAUAUAGACAAAAUAAUAAUAAUAAUAAUAAUGUAGUAGCGGUGACGGUGACUGCUUAUAUAGUAAUAUCAAUUGUAUUUUUAAAUAUUAUCUUUAUAAAGUAUCACACACAACACAGGCACAAACAUUAUAUCCUGUACAAGGCGUAGUAGUAGCUGUUGAAGGAAACGACUGUAAUAUGCUAGAUGGUGGUGAUGAAGAUGAGGAGUAUUAGGAUGAUGAUGAUGAGAAGGAGGAGAUAGAUGAUGACGACGACGAUGAUGACGAUGAGGUUAUUAAUGGCUAUAGAAAGAUGAUGAUGAUGAUGAUGACGACGAUGACGAUGAUGAUGGUGAUAACGACGAUGACGAUGAAUUAGGGACUCAUAAUCGUGGGCAUCCACUAAGCCGGUGGUGACGACGGGAGAUGGCGUAUGGUUAUUCAUUCCACACAGCGAGCUCUGCAACUGCCUUUCGAUCAACAGCUAUACCUUUAUUACAUAGUGUGUGAUCAUAUAUACCCAAUGCUUAUUUAGUAAUUAUUAUAUAUAUAAAUAUGUGUAAUAAACAAUUCCAUUAG